GACGAACGCUGGCGGCGUGCCUAACACAUGCAAGUCGAACGGGGUUGAGCCCUUCGGGACUCAACUUAGUGGCGAACGGGUGAGUAACGCGUGAGAAACCUGCCUUUCAGUGGGGGACAACAGUUGGAAACGACUGCUAAUACCGCAUAACGUAUUUAGGGGGCAUCCCUUGAAUACCAAAGCUUUAUGUGCUGAAAGAUGGUCUCGCGUCUGAUUAGCUAGAUGGCGGGGUAACGGCCCACCAUGGCGACGAUCAGUAGCCUGUCUGAGAGGAUGAACGGCCACAUUGGGACUGAGAUACGGCCCAGACUCCUACGGGAGGCAGCAGUGGGGAAUAUUGGGCAAUGGGGGAAACCCUGACCCAGCAACGCCGCGUGAAGGAAGAAGGCCUUCGGGUUGUAAACUUCUUUUAGUAGGGACGAAGAACGUGACGGUACCUACAGAAAAAGCAACGGCUAACUACGUGCCAGCCGCCGCCGUAAAAC
rnacentral:rRNA from 1 species